rnacentral:rRNA from 1 species
ACGCUGGCGGCGUGCUUAACACAUGCAAGUCGAACGAAAAGACGGAAAGAGCUUGCUCUUUUCAGAAUUGAGUGGCAAACGGGUGAGUAACACGUAAACAACCUGCCUUCAGGAUGGGGACAACAGACGGAAACGACUGCUAAUACCGAAUAAGUUCCAAGAGCCGCAUGGCCCAUGGAAGAAAAGGUGGCCUCUACCUGUAAGCUAUCGCCUGAAGAGGGGUUUGCGUCUGAUUAGCUGGUUGGAGGGGUAACGGCCCACCAAGGCGACGAUCAGUAGCCGGUCUGAGAGGAUGAACGGCCACACUGGAACUGAGACACGGUCCAGACUCCUACGGGAGGCAGCAGUGGGGAAUCUUCCGCAAUGGGCGAAAGCCUGACGGAGCAACGCCGCGUGAGUGAUGACGGCCUUCGGGUUGUAAAACUCUGUGAUCCGGGACGAAAAGGCAGAGUGCGAAGAACAAACUGCAUUGACGGUACCGGAAAAGCAAGCCACGGCUAACUACGUGCCAGCAGCCGCGGUAAUACGUAGGUGGCAAGCGUUGUCCGGAAUUAUUGGGCGUAAAGCGCGCGCAGGCGGCUUCCCAAGUCCCUCUUAAAAGUGCGGGGCUUAACCCCGUGAUGGGAAGGAAACUGGGAAGCUGGAGUAUCGGAGAGGAAAGUGGAAUUCCUAGUGUAGCGGUGAAAUGCGUAGAGAUUAGGAAGAACACCGGUGGCGAAGGCGACUUUCUGGACGAAAACUGACGCUGAGGCGCGAAAGCGUGGGGAGCAAACAGGAUUAGAUACCCUGGUAGUCCACGCCGUAAACGAUGGAUACUAGGUGUAGGAGGUAUCGACCCCUCCUGUGCCGGAGUUAACGCAAUAAGUAUCCCGCCUGGGAAGUACGAUCGCAAGAUUAAAACUCAAAGGAAUUGACGGGGG